AGCGCUGAUUUUCCAUUUUGUUGACAGCUUUAUGACGUAGUCAGUUUUCACUCCGCUUCAGGUUACUCUUAAUCUAGCAUCUCGUUGAAAACGAUACUGAAACCAAAUUUGCUAAAGAAAAUACAUUCAAAAUUCCGGAACAAGAAAGAAUGUCGCGUCAUCGUGAAUGGGAUUUGAAAUGCAAAGUCUAUGUUGGCAAUCUGGGCAAUAACACAGCCAGAGGUGACUUGGAAGCUUCAUUCAGCAAAUAUGGAGCCUUGAAAAAUGUUUGGGUUGCCCGAAAUCCCCCUGGCUUUGCAUUUGUUGAGUAUGAGGAUCCCAGAGAUGCUGAAGAUGCAGUUAGAGCCAUGGAUGGAUCGAGGAUUUGUGGUUCUCGUGUGAGGGUGGAGAUGUCUUCUGGCAGAGCCAGAGAGAGGAAUGGACCCAGAGGAGGAGGUGGUGGUGGUGAUCGCGGAGGUGAUCGCCGCGGAGGGCCCCGUGGCGGUGCCGAUUUCCGCGGAAGGAUUUUUUCAUUUGAUUUACUACCCCACUACCCCAUCCAUACAGCCGUAGUAUUUGGUUGAAAAAAAAAAAAAAAAAUAACAUACCCCCUCUUUGUUUCUGGUUAACUGCUGCGGCACAUGUUUGCCUGCCAACAACCACAAGUCUCUCCCCUUGUCGUCCACCAACUCAGCUCAAUCAGCUCAGCUCAGCGCCGUCCUCAAGCGCCGCCAUUCUUUUUUCUUGGCGGAGCAAAAUGAAACAGAGCAUAGCCAGCUUUCGUCCAUCCAUCCAUCCAACCACACCCACACACCAGCUACCUCCAGGCUCUGUGGACGCGGGCGGGUAGAGAAAUCUACCACGUCGAUCAGCUCUUGAUUUUCGCGAGGGGAACAGAAAUAUCACACACUUGAGGGGCAGGGGGCAAGUCACGGCCGAGAUCGCCUGUCAGCGCGUUUCUUCACCGCCGACCCCAGACUUUUAUUGGGGUCGCGCCCAAUCGUUCAGCCCACCGACCACCUACCACCAGUCACAAAAUUUCAUCAAAAAAUAUUUCACCAACACUUCUCUUCCAACACAACUCGCAACCUCCCAUCGCUUCUCUCCUACUCCUACUGAACGAAACGGGUCUCGCUCACCCGUACGUCGUCGUCCAACCCGCAGCCCAUCACGUUCUCCUCCGCCACGUCGCCGAGCUUCUCGUUCCUUCUCCCGCGAAAGACGG